AGAACUUGUUGAUGAAGAGACACCUGAUGUACCAGUGGUUGAGAAACCUGAAAAACAAAUGGUUGAGGAGAAACUUGAAGAACCAAUGAUUGAGGAGAAAUCUGACGAACUAGUCGAGGAGAAAUCUCAACAACCAGCGGCUGAAAAGAAACCUGAAGAACCAGCAGCUAAAGAAUCACCUAAAGAGGUAGCAGGGGAGGAAACAUCUGAAGAACUAGCACUUGAAGAGAAACUUAAAGAACCAACAGUUGAAGAGAUACCUAAAGAACUAGUUCUUGAAGAUAAACCUGGAAACCCAGAAAAUGAAGAGGAUAAACUUGAAACAGUAACUCUCCAGGAAAAGGUAAGAAACAAGCAGUGUCACAGAGUUUAUCCAUCCUAUUAGCUCUAUAUAUGCAACGAAUUCACAUCUGUUUAUCCACUGAAAGACCAAGUGAAACUUUAAAUUUUCUUGCAGAAUUUACCAAUUGCAGACUCAAAGGACAAGACUGACAAUGCAACUCCCUACAACAACAAUGAUAUUGCUGACUAUGUAGCAGUUAAGGAAAAAACUGAAGAACCAGUAGUUGAGGAAAAACAUGAAGAACCGGCAAUUGAAGAGAAAUCUGAAGAAUCAGCAUUAAUGAAAAAAACUGAAGAACCAGCGGUUGAGGUAAAACCUGAAGAACCGUCAGUGGAAAAGAAGCCUGAAGAACCAGCGGUUAGGAAAAAACCUGAAGAACCAGCAGUUAAUGAGGAACCUGAAAAAUCAGCAACGGAAGAGAAACCUGAAGAACCAAUUGUUGAGGAGAAACUUGAAGAACCAACUCUUGAAGAGAAACCUGGAAAAUCAGUAAUUGAAGAAACACCUGAAGAACCAACACUGGAAGUAACACCUAAAGAACAAGCGUUUAAAGAGAAACCAGAAGAACCAGCAGUUGAAGAGGAAAAAUCUGACAAGGUAACUCUUUUGGAAAAGGUGAGCAUCAAACAUUGUCACAAAUUUUAGCCAUCCUACUAGUUCUGUAUGUGCAAUAAUUCGUAUCAACUUAUCUAUUGAAAGACUAAGUGAAACUUUAAUUCUUCUUGCAGAAUAUACCAGUUGUAGAUUUCAAUGAUAAGACUGACAGUGUAAUUCCAUGCAAUACCAACGACGAUGUUGCUGAAUACGUAGCAGUUGAGGAAAACCUUGAAGAACCAACAGUUGAGGAGAAACCUGAAGAAUUAGCGGUUGAAGAGAAACCUGAAAAACCAGCAAUUGAGGAGAAAAGUGAAGAACCAAUAAUUGAGAAGAAACCUAAAGAACCAGCAGUUGAGGAGAAACCUGAAGAACAAACCGUUGAAGAGAAACUUGAAGAACCAACAAUUGAAGAUGAGAAACUUGAAAGGGUAACUCUCCUAGAAAAGGUGAGGAUCUAGCAUUGUCACAAAGUUUGUCCAUCCUAAUAGUUUUAUAUGUGCAAGCUUUUCAGAUCUGCUUAUCUAUUGAAAGACUAAGUGAAACUUUAAAUUCUUCUUACAGAAUAUGCCAGUUGUAGACUCGAACGACAAGACUGACUGUGAAAUUCCAUGCAACACCAACAAUGAUGUUGCUUACUAUCCAGCAGUUGAGGAAAAUCUUGAAAAAACAACAAUUGAGGAAACAACUGAUGAACCAGUGGUUGAAGAGAAACCUGAUGCACAAGCGAUUAAGGAGAAACCUGAAGUACCAACGAUUGAGCAGAAACUUGAAGAGUUAGCAGGAGAGGAAACCCAUGAAGAACUAGCAGUUGAAGAGAAGCUAGAAGAACCAAUUACUGAAGAGACACCUGCAGAACUAGUUAUUGAAGAGAAACAUGAAAACCCAACAAUUGAAGAGGAGAAACCUGAAACAGAAGCUCUCCUAAAGAAGGUUAGGAUUAAACACUGUUUCAAAAUUUAUCCAUCCUAUUAGCUUUAUAUGUGCAAGGAACUCACAUAUGUUAAUCUACUGAAAGACUAAGUCAAACUUUCAAGUUUUCUUGCAGAAUAUGCCAAUUGUAGACUCAAAGGACAAGAUUGACGUUGAAAGUCCAGGCAAUAACAACAAUGAUGGUGCUGACUAUCCAGCAGUUGAAGAUAAACCUGAAGAACUAACAGUUGAAGAAAAACAUGAAGAACAAGCAAUUGAAGAGAAACCUGAAGAACCAGUGGCCACAGAGAAACCUGAAGAACCAGCGAUUAAGGAAAAAGCUGAUGAACCAGCAGUGCAAGAGAAACCUGAAGAACCAGCUGUGGAAAAGAAACCUGAAGAACCAGCAGUCGAGGAGAAACUUGACGAACCACCAGUUGAAGAGAAAUCAGAAGAACCAGUAGUUGAACAAACACCUGCAGGACCAGCAUGGGAAGAAACAUCUAAAGAACUAGCAUUUGAAGAGAAACCUGAAGAACCAGCAGUUGAAAAAACACCUGAAGAACUAGCAGUUGGAAAGAACCCUGAAAAAACAGCAGUCGGAGAGAAACAUGAAAAAGUAACUCUCUUGGAAAAGGUGAGGAUCAAGCACAAUCACAAAUUUUAUCCAUCCUAUUAGUUAUGUAUGCGCAACAAUUCACAUUUGCCUGUUGGAAGAUUAAGUUAAACUUUAAAUUCUUCUUGCAGAAUAUACCAAUUAUAGAGUUAAACGAGAAGAAUAACAGUGCAACUCCAUGCAAUACCAACAAUGAUGUUGCUGACUAUCCAGCAGUUGAGGAAAAACCUGAAGAACCAGCGAUUGAGAAAAAACCUGAAGAACCAAUGGCUAAGGAGAAACUUGAAGAACCAAUUGUUGAGGAUAAACCUGAAAAAUCAGUGAUAGAGGAGAAAUCUGAAAAACUAGCAACUGAAGAAACACUUGGAGAGCAAGCAGGGGAGGAAACACCUGAAGCACUAGCAGUUGAAGAGAAACCUGACAAAUCAACAGUUGAAGAGACAGUUGAAGAACUAGCUAUUGAACAGAAACCUAAAAAAACAGCAGUUGAAAAAGAGAAACCUGAAGCCGUAACUCUCCUGGAAAAGGUGAUCAAGCACUGUCACAGAGAUUCCUUGCUCUAUACGUGCAAGGAAUUUACAUCUACUUAUCUACUGAAAGAUUUAGUGAAACUUUAAAUUCUUCUUGCAGAAUAUGCCAGUUGUAGAUUCAAAGGACAAGAUUAACAGUGAAAUUCCAUGCAAUGCCAACAAUGAUGUUUUUGACUAUCCAGCAGUUGAGGCAAAACCUGAAGAACUAGCAAUUGAAAAAAAAUAUGAAGAACCAGUAGUUAUAUUGGAGAAACCUGCAGAACUAGCAGUUGAGGAGACACCUGAAAAAUCAGUAGUUGAAGAGAAGCCUGAAAAACCAGCAGCACGGGAAGAAGCACUUGAAGAACCAGCAUGGGAAGAAACACCUGAAGAACCAACAGUUGAAGAGAAACUUGAUAAACCAGCAACUGAAAAAGAGAAACCUGAAAAGGUAACUUUCCGCGAAAAGGUGAGGAUCAAGCACUAUCACAAAGUUCGCCCAUCCUAAUAGUCUUGUAUGUGCAAGGAAUUCACAUAUGCUUUUUUAUUGAAAGACUAAGUGAAACCUUCAAUUCUUCUUGCAGAAUAUGCCUGUUGUAGACUCAAAUGGUAAGACUGGCAGUAAAAUUACAUGCACUACCAAAAAAGAUGUUGCUGAUAAUCCAGCAGUUGAGGAUGAAGAACCAGCAGUUGAGGAUAAACCUGAUGAACCAACAGUUGAAGAAAAACCUGAAGAACCAGCAAUUGAAGGAAAACUUGAGAAACUGGCAGUUGAAGAUAAACUUGAGGAACCAGCUUUUGAACAGAACCCUGAGGAAACAGCAGUUGAACAGAACCCCGAGGAACCGCCAGUUGAAGAAAAACCUGAGGUACCAGUAGUUGACGAAAAAGCUGAAGAACUAGUGGUUGAAGAGAAACUUGAAGAACCAUCAGUUAAAGAAAAGCCGGAAGAACAAAGCAGGGAAGAAACCGAAGCUCCCAUAAAAGAGGCAAAGCAUAACCAGAAUGCAAAUGAAGCAAGCAGCAGUCUGCCAACAGCUAUGCUAAGCCAUCCGCCUGCUCAAGGGACAACAAUGACCAACCCAAUAUUGGGAGAACCAAUUAGUAUUGACGAACCUAAAAAUGUGCAACAGCUAGAUUCUCAAGAAAUAUCAGAAAUCGAUGAUGCAAUGCAGAGAGAUGAAGAUAACAUAAAGCAGAAGGAUGAGGCUUCUUUCACUGAAGAACAGAAGUUUACACCACAGAGUGAGUAAUACUAGUUCACAGACAUGCUUUCCCUAUCCAAUUGAUUUUAUUUGCAAUGGAAAAUGGUGACACACUUUAGAUAACAGAUCAAAUCGAUUUAACCAUAGUCUUACUCGCAAAAAGUAGAGAAAAAUACAAAUGGAACCAAUCUCUAAAAGGAAGCUGAAAUGGAGAGAAGCACCAGAGACAAGAUGCCUUUCUGUUUUGGAGAAACCUCGAAAAAGUAGAAUGCACAUCCACAGUAUUUAGCAAUAAUGAUCAUCUAUCAUUACAUAUAUGAACAUAAUUUAUUUAUUACUACAUUGAUAUAAUAAAGAAAUCCUAUGAUAUGCUUUUGCUAAGAUAUUAGGGCUAGCAGCAUUCAUUAAGCCAUAAAUUCCAAUAUGGAUGUAACAAGCACUUUUUUGGGGGUUCAAAGAGAUGCACUUUCUAGUCACUUCAAUAAUGACUAGAUGUGGUAUUAACUACUACCGACAUAUUGCAGGUUAUGACAAUCAAAAUACUUCGACAGGGGAUAGUUUCUUAAAUAAGAACAUGUUCGCUGAAGGUGAAGCUGUGCACAUUAAUAGUCAAGAGGAUCUAAUCAGGCAAGAAACUUCAGGAAGCACAAAAUCUGAGAUAAAUCCAAAUUCAAGUAAAGGAACAGAAAAUGAGGCAAGUGAUAUUGCUAAUAGAGAAGGAUCAAGCAGACUUGGUUAAGUAAAUAAUUUAGUUGCUCUUCGUCCUUAUUGUUCUAAACUUGAUGAGCUACUUGGUUAUGCAGGUAAAUGACCAUCCAGAAGGACCAGAAGUACCAAAACAAACUGAUGAAACGGAAAAAUGUAUAGUACAGAAGCAAGAAGAUUCCGUUCGCAACCAGGACGAACUGGCUGUUGAAGAAAAAAUGAGAUCUUGUGAAGAGGUUGAAACAAAGGUAUUAGAUGAUCUGGCUUCUAUUAAUACUCUGAUCUUUCCUGUCCAUAGACUAAUGAUAGCCAAAACUAUAACUUCAAAACAUAUAAACAAACUUAAAGAUAUAAAUGCUGGUGAUGGAAUGGAACAAAUAAAAACAUUAUGGAAAAAGAAGAAAAGACUUUGGACAAAAUUCUGACGUCCACCAAAGAAGAAAUUGGUACCAAGAACUCUGAAGAAGGCCAAGUGGUUUCAGAGAUUCCCAGUCAAGAGUUUAAGUGACCAUAGAAGCCUGUUCUUAAUUCAUAUAUGUAACUCUCAGAUAUAAAGAUGCCUUCUCUCUUUCUACUAAAAUCACAAAAUUCCCUCUUUUUCAAAUCUGCAGAACUUUCAACAAGCUAAUUUAAUCAGAGAUGAAGCUUUAUUGAAAGAUGAGCAUGGAGUCGAGAACUUCGUGGUAGUUUCUUCAGAAGAAAUUAGUUGUGAAGGCUCUAUUGAAAAGUUAAACGAAAUGAGAACCUGAGAAUGAAUCAGCCAAUUAGCAUCAAGGCACUCAUAUGACAACCAUUCACUGAGGGUCUUAAGUUUAUUGCAUGCAUAUGAAUUAUCUUGCCACCUUGUCUUUCUGGGAGAAAUAUUAAAAUUCAAGUCUGAAAGUAUUUGAAGUAUAUAGUUCGUAGUAACUACUAACUACUAUAAAUUUAAAGUUCUCCAUAUAAAACAAAAUAAGUCUUCACUUCCUUUCCCAGAGUUUUUGUUUAUUCUGUAGUUAUUGCACAAAAUGGGAAACAAUAGAUGAUAAGAUGAUAUAUACAAGAAAUAGAAAAUUAAUUCACUGCUGAUAGAGUAUAUUCUAUUGCACAAAUAUCAACCAUCUUUGCUCUUUUAUUUGUUUAUUUAUUUAUUUUGUUCGAGGCUAUUACAAGUGAGACAUCCUAGUAUCAUUGGGAUUCAUAUGCGCUUCUUUUGAAAACUAAGUCGAAACAAAAAUUAGCCAAAUGCUGACAAAUGGGUAUGACUUAUUUUUCUGAAAAAGAACGGACCAUUGACAUUGCAAAUCGAGUAUUCCUUUGAGUCUUUGAAACAAUAAGUUGCAAGGGAAGGUUUAAGCAAAUUUCAAAUAUUGCAGGUAGAUGCCUUCAUGCAUUUAUUCUGAUCAUUUUAUUGGUUUUCUUCGGCAGACUCUUUUAACAUUGACAAAAAGAAAGAUUCUUCUUGGAGAAUUAUCAGUUAAUAAAGGAAGAGGCAGUGGAAACUCUUUCUCGGGGAAUUCCAAAAUAUGACCUUAAGAGAAUUCACAUGACGUUAAGCUAGAAACCAAGGACUUAAACCACUAGGCCACGGCAACUGUAUUUCAGUUAUAAACAGGAAUCUUGCUAAAAUAAGAAGUCCCAAAAAUCAUCAUGUAGACAUCUGUUAACUUGAUAUAAUGCUCGGCAGUUGACAAUUACUAAAACCAUCUGGAGAUUAAGAUAUGAACACCUUCUUCUCUCGUUAGAAUGAUUCUUAUAUGCAUAACUCCUUGUCCUUUUCUCACCAGUGUAUGUAACAUACUAAACAAUGGUAGCACUCAAAAUAUUCUGAGCAAUCACGAUCAUUGUUGCAGAACAGUUGAGCAUGUGUAAUAACCCUAUGCGAGAUGCAACCAAAAGAAUUCCACCAUCCUAUUAGUUCCGUAUGUGUAAGGAAUUCACAUCUACUUAUCUAUUGAAAGACUAAGUGAAACUUUAAAUUCUUCUUGUAGAAUAUGCCGGUUGUAGACUCGAACGACAAGACUGACAGUGAAAUUUCAUGCAAUACCGACAAUGAUGUUGCUGACCAUCCGGCAGUUGCAGAAAAACCCGAUGAUUCAGCAGUUGAAGAGAAACCCGAGGAAUGGAUAGUUGAAGAGAAACUGGAAGAAACAGCCGUUAAGGAGAAAGCCGAAGAACCAAAAGUUGAGGAGAAACUCGAAGAACCAGCAAUUGAGGAGAAACCUGACAAACCAGCGGUUGAAGGGACACCUGAAGAACCUGCAGUGAAAGAAACACCUGAACAACCAACGUUUGAAGAGAAACCUCAAGAACCAGCAAUUCAGGAGAAACCUGAAGAACCAACAGUUGAAAAGAAACCUGAAGAACCAACAAUUGAUGAAGAACUUGAAGAACCAACAGUUGCGGAGAAACCCGAAGAACCAGCAGUUAAAGAAAAACAUGUAGAACCAGCAAUUGAAGAAAAACGUGAGGAACCACAAGUUGAAGAAAAACAUGAGGAACCAGCAGUUGAAGAAAAAACUGAAGAACCAGCAGUUGAAGAAAAACCUAAAGAACCAAAAGUUGAGGAGAAACCUAAAGAACCAGCGGCUGAGGAGAAACCCGAAGAACCAGCAGUGAAAGAAACACCUGAAGAACCAGCGGUUAAAGAGACACCUGAGGAACUAGCAGUUGAAGAGAAACCUGAAGAACCAGCAAUUGAAGAGAAACCUGAAGAACCAGUAGCUGACAAAAAACUUGAGCAACCAACAAUUGAGGAGAAACCUGAAGAAUCAAUAGUUGAAAAGACUGAAGAACCAGCAGUUGAUGAAAAAGGUGAAGAACCGUCAGUUGAAGAAAUACCUGAGGAGUCGGCAGUUGAAAAUUUUGAAGAAGCAGCAGUAGAAGAGAAACCUGAAGAACCAGCAGUUAAGGAAAAAACUGAAGAACCACCCAUUGAAGAAAAACCCGAGGACCAAGCAGUUGAAGAGAAACCUAAAGAACUAACAGUUGAAGAGAAACUUGAAGAACCAAUAAUUGAAGAGAAACCUAAAGAACCACCAGUUGGAGAAGAACCCAAAGAACAAAACAGGGAAGAUACUGAAGCUGCCACAGAAAGAAUUGAUGAAUCUGGAACACAUAUAGUAGAGAAAGAAGAAGCUUUGAUAGGAA
rnacentral:lncRNA from 1 species